rnacentral:rRNA from 1 species
GAUGAACGCUAGCGGCAGGCCUAACACAUGCAAGUCGAGGGGUAACAGGAGUGCUUGCACUCGCUGACGACCGGCGCACGGGUGCGUAACGCGUAUAGAACCUACCUUUAACUGGAGGAUAGCCCAGAGAAAUUUGGAUUAAUACUUCAUGGUAUCAUAUAACUGCAUGGUUUUUAUGAUUAAAGAUUUAUCGGUUAGAGAUGGCUAUGCAUUCUAUUAGUUAGUUGGAGAGGUAACGGCUCCCCAAGACAUCGAUAGAUAGGGGUCCUGAGAGGGAGAUCCCCCACACUGGUACUGAGACACGGACCAG